CGGGGCGCAGCAGUGGGGAAUUUUGGACAAUGGGCGAAAGCCUGAUCCAGCAAUGCCGCGUGCAGGAUGAAGGCCUUCGGGUUGUAAACUGCUUUUGUACGGAACGAAAAGGUCUGCCCUAAUACGGUGGGCCCAUGACGGUACCGUAAGAAUAAGCACCGGCUAACUACGUGCCAGCAGCCGCGGUAAUACGUAGGGUGCGAGCGUUAAUCGGAAUUACUGGGCGUAAAGCGUGCGCAGGCGGUUAUGUAAGACAGUUGUGAAAUCCCCGGGCUCAACCUGGGAACUGCAUCUGUGACUGCAUAGCUAGAGUACGGUAGAGGGGGAUGGAAUUCCGCGUGUAGCAGUGAAAUGCGUAGAUAUGCGGAGGAACACCGAUGGCGAAGGCAAUCCCCUGGACCUGUACUGACGCUCAUGCACGAAAGCGUGGGGAGCAAACAGGAUUAGAUACCCCGGU
rnacentral:rRNA from 1 species